GAAACGUAGGGUGGAAAGGCAGGAGGUUGCAUAGAAGGGAAUAGGAAUAUCGGGAGGGUAGCUGGGCACAAAAAGCUGCAUGACCUAGGAUUACAGUUGCUAUGGCAAUCAAGCUGUUAUAUAGGAGGAAGAAGCUAAAGAUAUCUGGCAAGGAGGAAAAGGAUGUGUAACCCUGUCCUUGUGAUCCUUGAGGAAAACCGAUGAG